rnacentral:rRNA from 1 species
UACGGAGGUUGCGAGCGUUAAUCGGAAUUACUGGGCGUAAAGCGCACGUAGGCGGUCGGAUAAGUCCGAUGUGAAAGCCCUGGGCUUAACCUGGGAAAUGCAUUCGAUACUGUCUGGCUAGAGUAUGGGAGAGGGAAGCAGAAUUUCCGGUGUAGCGGUGAAAUGCGUAGAUAUCGGAAGGAAUACCAAUGGCGAAGGCAGCUUCCUGGCCCAAUACUGACGCUCAGGUGCGAAAGCGUGGGGAUCAAACAGG